GACGGAGGGUGCGAGCGUUAUUCGGAAUCAUUGGGCGUAAAGAGCGUGUAGGCGGCCGGUUAAGUCAGGUGUGAAAGCCCGGGGCUCAACCUCGGAAGUGCACUUGAAACUGGUCGGCUUGAGUUCGGGAGAGGGAAGCGGAAUUCCUGGUGUAGAGGUGAAAUUCGUAGAUAUCAGGAGGAACACCGGUGGCGAAGGCGGCUUCCUGGACCGAAACUGACGAUGAGACGCGAAAGCGUGGGGAGCAAACAGG
rnacentral:rRNA from 1 species